CAAGAGAGACUAGCGUUUUUCAUCUUUAUUAGGUUUAAAGGGUACCUAGACGGUUUAUCUAGCCUUAAUAAAGGAAACGGAUUAAACUAGAGUUUAAUAGAAGAGGUAGAUUUAGUAUCGAUAGAGAAAAGAUGAAAUUUUUUAUACUUUCGAGACUGAUAAUGGUGAAAACAAUCCUCUAUAGAAUAACUGACGUUAAGGGACGAAGGCAUGGAGAUCGAAUAGGAUU
rnacentral:rRNA from 1 species